UGGGGAAUAUUGCACAAUGGGCGCAAGCCUGAUGCAGCCAUGCCGCGUGUGUGAAGAAGGCCUUCGGGUUGUAAAGCACUUUCAGCGAGGAGGAAGGUGGUGAGCUUAAUACGCUCAUCAAUUGACGUUACUCGCAGAAGAAGCACCGGCUAACUCCGUGCCAGCAGCCGCGGUAAUACGGAGGGUGCAAGCGUUAAUCGGAAUUACUGGGCGUAAAGCGCACGCAGGCGGUUUGUUAAGUCAGAUGUGAAAUCCCCGGGCUCAACCUGGGAACUGCAUUUGAAACUGGCAAGCUAGAGUCUCGUAGAGGGGGGUAGAAUUCCAGGUGUAGCGGUGAAAUGCGUAGAGAUCUGGAGGAAUACCGGUGGCGAAGGCGGCCCCCUGGACGAAGACUGACGCUCAGGUGCGAAAGCGUGGGGCAGCAAACAGGAUUAGAUACCCUGGUAGUCCAGCGCUGUAAACGAUGUCGAUUUGGAGGUUGUGCCCUUGAGGCGUGGCUUCCGGAGCUAACGCGUUAAAUCGACCGCCUGGGGAGUACGGCCGCAAGGUUAAAACUUAAAGGAAUUGACGGGGUC
rnacentral:rRNA from 1 species